UACAGAGGGUGCGAGCGUUAAUCGGAAUUACUGGGCGUAAAGCGUGCGUAGACGGUUAUGUAAGUCGGGUGUGAAAGCCCCCGGGCUCAACCUGGGAAUUGCAUUCGAGACUGUGUAGCUAGGGUGCGGAAGAGGGAAGCGGAAUUUCCGGUGAGCGGUGAAAUUCGUAGAGUAUUCGUAAGAACAUCGGUGGCGAAGGCGUCUACCUGGCGUCGAUACUGACGCUAAGGCGCGAAAGCGUGGGGAGCAAACAGG
rnacentral:rRNA from 1 species